AUAAGACGAGAAGACCCUAUGGAGCUUUAGACGCCAAGACAGACCAUGUUAAACACCUCCCCACAAGGAGCCCAAACCAAAUGGUCCCUGCCCUAGUGUCUUUGGUUGGGGCGACCGCGG
rnacentral:rRNA from 1 species